rnacentral:rRNA from 1 species
GGGAAACUGCCUGAUGGAGGGGGAUAACUACUGGAAACGGUAGCUAAUACCGCAUAACGUCGCAAGACCAAAGAGGGGGACCUUCGGGCCUCUUGCCAUCGGAUGUGCCCAGAUGGGAUUAGCUAGUAGGUGGGGUAACGGCUCACCUAGGCGACGAUCCCUAGCUGGUCUGAGAGGAUGACCAGCCACACUGGAACUGAGACACGGUCCAGACUCCUACGGGAGGCAGCAGUGGGGAAUAUUGCACAAUGGGCGCAAGCCUGAUGCAGCCAUGC